UUUUGACCUCGGAUCAGGUAGGGAUACCCGCUGAACUUAAGCAUAUCAAAA
rnacentral:rRNA from 2 species